CGGACGGGUGAGUAACACGUGGAUAACCUACCUAUAAGACUGGGAUAACUUCGGGAAACCGGAGCUAAUACCGGAUAAUAUAUUGAACCGCAUGGUUCAAUAGUGAAAGACGGUUUUGCUGUCACUUAUAGAUGGAUCCGCGCUGCAUUAGCUAGUUGGUAAGGUAACGGCUUACCAAGGCAACGAUGCGUGGCCGACCUGAGAGGGUGAUCGGCCACACUGGAACUGAGACACGGUCCAGACUCCUACGGGAGGCAGCAGCC
rnacentral:rRNA from 1 species